rnacentral:rRNA from 1 species
UACGUAGGGUGCAAGCGUUGUCCGGAAUUAUUGGGCGUAAAGAGCUCGUAGGCGGUGUGUCGCGUCGGCCGUGAAAACCUGCAGCUUAACUGUGGGCUUGCGGUCGAUACGGGCAGGCUAGAGUUCGGUAGGGGAGAUCGGAAUUCCUGGUGUAGCGGUGAAAUGCGCAGAUAUCAGGAGGAACACCGGUGGCGAAGGCGGAUCUCUGGGCCGAUACUGACGCUGAGGAGCGAAAGCGUGGGGGAGCGAACAGG